rnacentral:rRNA from 1 species
GACAGAGGUGCCGAGCGUUAGGCGGAAUCACUGGGCUUAAAGCGUGUGUAGGCGGACUUGUAAGUACCUUGUGAAAUCCCACAGCUCAACUGUGGAACUGCUUGGUAUACUGCUUGUCUUGAGCCACUUAGGGGCAGUCGGAACAGACGGUGGAGCGGUGAAAUGCGUAGAUAUCGUCUGGAACGCCAAAGGUGAAAAACAGAACUGCUGGGAGUGGUGCUGACGCUGGAGACACGGAAAGCCAGGGGAAGCCAAAGCGGGGAUUAAGAA